CGGAAGCGCGACGAGGUCGCCGACAAAGUCGCGGUCGGGCGCCAUCGACCCGAGCACGCGCGCCUCGGCGCCGCCGUCCGUCACGGCCACGAGGUGCACGGUGGCGCCCCGUGACCCGCGCUCGGCCAGCACGAGGUAGAGCGUGCUGUCGUCGGGAUCGCAGCGGGGGUCGGCUGCGCGCGGCCAGUCUCCCAGGAUAGCGCGUACGGUCGGGUUGCCGCGGGCGUUCAUCGCGGUGCGUCGUGCCUGGGCCGCCAUGCGACCCUCUGUGCGCCGUCGAUACAGGGCGCCGACAUUGCGCACGAGCCUGGCCAGGCCCUGGGAUCGGGUGGUCUCCUGAGCGACGAUCUCCGGGGCGGCGAAAUGCGCCUCGGGUGCGCCGACGAGGCUCGUGUACACGCCGACGACGUCUUCGAUGCCCGGCGGCCACUGCGGUCCCAAAUCGGAUGUCAGCGCAUAUUUGAUGGCGCUCGACGCCCAUGGAUCGGCGUCGAUGGCCUCCCACAUGCCUUUGUGGGCCUCGGCAAAGGCACAGCCGUCCCAGCCCUCGCCAUUGCCCCAGUCGUCAAAGAACGCCCGCUCGUCCAGACGGACGAGGAGCGGAUCAGAGGCAACCUCGAUACCUUGGUCGCUCGUGUUCCACGCGCGACAUGCCGCCUCCAGGCGUGGCGCAUAAGAGGCGGUGCGACCAUCGGCGGGCGCGUCGGCGAUGAGGCCCUCGGGCAGGACGUCGACGGCCAGCACGGCCGGUGCCGUCGCGGUGGGUUCCUCCAUCGGCCUCUUUUUUUUUCCUGGCGGUUUGCUCUCUCCAAUUCACGUCGUCGGCUUACGUGCUUUUUUGGGAGCGUCGACUUUUUUCUUGCUCGUGCUGAGGCGUCGCCAGGACCAAUCAAAAGAAAGAAAGAAAAAAGUAAAAAAAAAUGAAUCGGGAAAAGGGAAGAAAUGCGGCACUUGUCUUGUGGGGGCGGAGGCUGCGGCUCGCUCUGACGCGCGUGUGCGUGCGGGUCCUUUGGCGUGGGUGGCAACCGCCUUGCCUUUUCGUGUGGGGCCAUCUGCGCUGGUCGGCCGACCAACUCGUCGGGGCGCACAAAAAAAAAGUUGGGCGAAAACCCCGCAAACAACAACGCCGGGGAGAAAAAGGGAGCAGACCCAAAGACGACCGCUCUCGGCGCCGCCGCGCCCUCACGCAAAGAGCCAGGCAAUGUCACGGACUCAAAAACUAAAAAUCCAAGAGCCCUUGACGCGUAGUCAUUUUGUUUGUCUUUUUUAUUUUUAUUUUCAUUCAUCGGAGAGGGAAAAAAAUAAAAAAACGGGCGCCCCCUCAAGGCGCACACCGUCGCG
rnacentral:lncRNA from 1 species